UAGUAAGGUCAGCUAAAUAAGCUACCGGGCCCAUACCCCGGAAAUGUUGGUUCACACCCCUCCCAUACU
rnacentral:tRNA from 1 species